AAAAUGACACACACACGGUACACACAAUCGCAUCAUCGUGCGGUCGUGCCUUCACUCGCUUUCUCACUUCUCACUGUCUCACCUCUCGGCUCUCACUCUCUAACUCUCUUGACUCUUCUUCUCUUCACUCUUCACCCUUCACAAGACACAAAUCACAACUCGCAAGCAUAGUUCAUGGCCUCAUGCCUCACGAACGAUUUCAUAGACAAGCCGAUCAAAACGAGCACAGACACAGAGCAGCCUGCCGGCGCAACCACCGACCGAAUCUACUGCUUCGCGACCGGAUCUCCUGCUAUCGGAUCUACCAUCACCAACCUCCUUCGACCCGACAAACCGAAUUUUGUGUUUUGAAGUUAUGAUGGUAUAAUAUAUUAUAUAUGAUAUGUUAAUUGUUUUUUUUUUUUUUUGAAAAGGAUAUGUUAAUUGUUAAUAACAUGUAUUCGUAAAAUGUUAAUAAUAAAUUCAGGAAAAUUGUGCAUUGAAAAUUUUAGAGCUUGAUUGAUUAAAUUUAAACCCUUGUAAGCUUAAAUCAAAAGUAUGAAUUAAAAUUAAAUAUUCUGUUCUACAUGGUAAAUGAGCUAUUGAAUAAGCAUCAAUAAAGAAUUUCAUCUGAACUCAACUUGAUUUUUUAAUCUGAUCCUAUCCGAUCCGGAUAUGUUCGAAUCAAUUUGGGUUGGAUUGAGUUCGAAUGAAAUUUUUUUCACCUUAAUCAAUCCAAAACCUUAUUGAAUUAAUACGAAUCUGAUCUGAACCUAAUUUUGCCCAGUCCCACUUUGGAUAUGUCCAUGUCCAUCGUUAAAGAAUAGAUCGAUGCUUGUGACAACUAAAUAUGCAAAAAAGAAAGCAAAAAUUGACUAUUUAACAGCCCAUGCCUUUGUGUCUGCUUUUGCUUGCAAUUGAUAGCUCACGAGAAACUUUUACAAUACAAAAUACAGUCGAUACUUUUCAUUCAAAGUAUCUACGGUUUUGCACGUGAGGUUUUGAUUCUGUCCUCACAGCUUUUAAUUAAAUUGAUAUUAAUGCUGCAAAUGAUGAUGACAGGAGCCUGUUACUCGUGACCUCAGGCUAUUUAAAAUGUCUUCUAAUUGUUAUUUAAUGAUAAAUUAUUCUUUUAUGUGCCCGUGAUUUUAUCUCUUACGUUUCAGAUACAACUUCUUCAAGGUAUCAUACUCACGUGAUGCUCAUGCCCUAUGUUUUUUCAUCUUCAAUGUUCUUCUUCUUCUUCUUCUUCUUCUUUUUUUUUUUUCUUUUCUGAAGUAAUCUUCAAUGGUUGAUGUCUUGAUGAUACUAAUUUGCUCCCGCUUCUCAAUGCAUCCUAAAUGUUAGUUGUGAACAUGAUGGAUAAAUAUUAGUUACGAACAUGAUCAAAAUCAUGACAUGUAUUAUUAUUUUUUUUGAAAUAUUAUGUCACAAUUCAAUCUAUUAAUAUUAUAAUAAAUUU
rnacentral:lncRNA from 1 species